rnacentral:rRNA from 1 species
AUUGAACGCUGGCGGCAUGCCUUACACAUGCAAGUCGAACGGCAGCACGGGAGCAAUCCUGGUGGCGAGUGGCGAACGGGUGAGUAAUAUAUCGGAACGUGCCCAGUCGUGGGGGAUAACGCAGCGAAAGCUGUGCUAAUACCGCAUACGAUCUAUGGAUGAAAGCGGGGGACCGUAAGGCCUCGCGCGAUUGGAGCGGCCGAUAUCAGAUUAGCUAGUUGGUGGGGUAAAGGCUCACCAAGGCGACGAUCUGUAGCUGGUCUGAGAGGACGACCAGCCACACUGGAACUGAGACACGGUCCAGACUCCUACGGGAGGCAGCAGUGGGGAAUUUUGGACAAUGGGCGCAAGCCUGAUCCAGCAAUGCCGCGUGCAGGAUGAAGGCCUUCGGGUUGUAAACUGCUUUUGUACGGAGCGAGAAGGCUUCUCUUAAUACGAGGGGCUCAUGACGGUACCGUAAGAAUAAGCACCGGCUAACUACGUGCC